UGGUAGAUUGGGAUAUGCUGAAUGUUUAUGACUAUGCCACUGAAAGAGAGGAGCUUGUGCUGGGUGAACAGGAAGGUGGAGACGCAAGCUCGGAUUUGAAACUUGAGGAAGAUGCUAAGGGAUGGUGAGGCAGGGGUCAGGUGAGACAGGAGGAACUGAUGGUGAGUGAUCUUGGGGCACCAGGAGGCUUUUGGUGAGGGGGACCAGGCGGUAUCGUGGGUUAGCUCUGCAGCAGGAAGCAUGAGGACUCCUCAGAAUGUGGAAGGUGGGUGGAAUGUGCAGAGCCCAGCCCUUCAUUUCACCAAAACACAGACCGAGAAGCCUCCAGGAAAGCUGGGACUAGGAUAAUGAAGAAGCUAAGUCAGUGGGUGGCAGGUGACAGAAUUUUGGAGUUGCUCAAGGAGAUGAGAGGGAGAGAGCAAAGUACAAUGGUUUUGCUCCCAAGGCGGCCACCCUCAGAAGCAAAGGAAAAGCCAGUGGGCUGAUGGCUGCUGAUGACCAGUGACACUGCAACACCUAGCGAAGGGACACAGGGCACCUCAAGUUCCAUCAACACCCCCGAGCCUUCAAGCAACGCAUCAAACACACAUGUGGCACACAGAGGUGCCAGGUGACUCCCGCGUGAAGGAACUGGUAAAGUGGGUAAAUUUCCACUCCAAACGACAUGUGGUCACAAGCUUUCGAUUUGGGCUGACUUGGUAAUAAUGAAGACACUGUGGAUGUGCUGGCCGCACUCGCUCAUUCACCUCGCAGUAAAUAUUUGCUGAGGGCACCCGAGUGCCAGGCACUGUCCUCCCCAGCGAGGCUGGGAUGGGGCAGGGAGACCAACCCUUGUCCUUGCUUGGUACACAGCCUGGUGAGGAUGGGAAGCAAAGGAAACGCGAAGUAAAUCGUGUCAGAUGAAUGCUUGGGAGGGGACAGUGAUGA